GUAGGCGUAGCGCAGCUGGAUAGCGCGUCAGACUCCGACUCUGAAGGCCGUGGGUUCGAAUCCCAUCGUCUACA
rnacentral:tRNA from 2 species